UAUAUACUCCCUCCGUUCGAAAAAGCUUGUCCCAAGGUUAUUCCUCAAAUAGAUGUAUCUAGCACGAAUUUGGUGCUAGAUACAUCCAUUUGAGGACAAUCUUUUUCAGAUGGAGGGAGCACACA
rfam:Triticum aestivum genome assembly, contig: Triticum_aestivum_CS42_TGACv1_scaffold_223014_3B